AUUUUUUUUAAUUGCUCUUGUAAAUCUUCUGCACAUACAGAACAAGGAUAAAACUUGGAAAAUGUGUGAAAGAACUUUGACAUAUCCAACUUUUGUUCAUCAGUUGGAUUAUCAGGGUAAUAUGCUGCCAUGGUGGACUUUUCUUCUCUAUUUUCUCAGUUUCCUGACAUAAUAAAAUAUAUAUGUGAGAAUAAAUAAUCUAUUUCACAACAUAAA